rnacentral:rRNA from 1 species
UACAGAGGGUGCAAGCGUUGUUCGGAAUUAUUGGGCGUAAAGCGCGUGUAGGCGGCUUUGCAAGUCGGGUGUGAAAGCCCUCAGCUCAACUGAGGAAGUGCGCCCCGAAACUGCAGAGCUUGAGUGCCGGAGAGGGUGGCGGAAUUCCCCAAGUAGAGGUGAAAUUCGUAGAUAUGGGGAGGAACACCGGUGGCGAAGGCGGCCACCUGG